AGGAGCUGUGAGAAGUUGUGCUGGGGAGAAGGAGACGGAGACACCAUAUCAGGUACAAGGAAGGAGGCCCUGAGGAAUAAUGAGUAGUUACAGUUCUUAAGUCAUCUUUGGAAGCAAACUCCCAGCCCUUUGCACAGAGAGCAAGAUCAAACUGCCUCAUUCAAGCCUCUACAUUAUGAACGGAUGAAUGAUCAUGUGCAUGCACUGACACUUUUUUAAAUAAAUGCUUUUUUUAUACUUUCUAGGCAUGUCAUAGGACAGCCUAAGUGACCGGUCCCCAUUGAAAAUGGCCUUGUCUGACAAAGUGCAGAGAUACUGCCAGAUGAGUUGAUUUUUACACCAGUGUAAUCUCAAGGACUUCAACAAAGUGAUUGACACCAGUGUCACUGCAAGAGGAAUCGGGUCCAGCCAGUCUACCCCUGCAAGAGCAUGUGAAGCCAGCAGCAGGGAUAGAUCCUUUGAUCCAGAAUGGGGAUGAUAUGAUGUACCUGGCAAAUUGGACAGCUGGUGCAGGGGAAAAUGUGGAUUUUUAUCACUAGCUAUUUCCAGUACUAACAGGAUUCUCAGUCCCUGGCCAUAGGACACCUGCUCAGACUAGGCAGGAGAGGCAGACCCAGUGACCACUAGUGCGAUUGCUAGACACACUAUGUACUCCUGGCUACAUGUGAGAGAGAGGACCGAGAUUAUCUCAGCUCUGCGCUGUGACUCCAUGCUGUCAGCACGGUGAGGUCAAUGCUGAGAGCAGCACUGGGCCUGAGUGCGCAAUGCCACCUCGCACCUUUCUGGAGGACUGACCAGUGCUCCCAUUGGGAACUGAGCCCCUCUGUGCAGUCUCUUGGCCACAGGGGCCAAGAGGGCAGAGUGAAGGAAUGAGAGAAAACAGCUAUAAAGUAAUAGAAAGGGAUUCAAGAGACAACAUGGGAAGGAGAGGAACCCAGAAGCAUCCCUGAGGUCAGAGAGCCGUCACUUGGGGUGCAGGCAACUCGCAGAGCCUCCCUGGCUGUCCAUGUGCCUAGGGGCCACAGGGACCUGGCGGCCACUUCCAGGAGCCGCACAGAGCCAGGGAGCCUGCCUUAGCCCUGGGCCCCUGCAGCGCCACUGACUGGACUUUUAACAGCCAAGUCAGCAGUGCCGACCAGAGCCACCAGGGUCCCUUCGACCAGGUGUUCCAGUUGAAAACCAGACGCCUGGCAACCCUAGUUGGGACACUGACCUGGCAUUCUCCGAUAAGGACAACAUUGUGUGUAUGGGGGAGAACAGGAGAACCAGACAAGAACCUGAAAUCCAGCAGCCCAUGGAGACAUAUCCUGCUGCUGCAUGCCUGUUCAAGGCAGGCAGGGUCCAGUGGAAGUAUCAUAAUGCAUACACACAAGGGGGCCGAAUUAAGGUUGAACAGGCAUCCUUAAUCUGGCACUUCAUUAUUUUUGAGUUCCUGACUUUGCAACCUUAACAUUCCUUUA